rnacentral:lncRNA from 1 species
UCGGGAGCCACUUCCAAGAAGUGUUUGAGUCCCUGCUCAUCCCCACUCUGGAAUUCCUGGGAUUUUCCAUCUCUGGGAAUGAAGAUUUUGCUCCAAAUCUGGGAUUUUUUUGGGAAUUUUGCUGCUUCCCCCUCUCCAGGAUCCACGGGGGAGUCAGGGCUGAACCUCCCCCAGGCAUUUUUUGGGGUUUUUUUUCCCCAAUCCCAAAAAAUCCUGGAAAAUCCUAUUUGAGUGUUCAGCAACUCUGGCAAAAAUGGGGAUUUCUCCCAUGGAAUGUGAGCAGGGAGGGAGUGAAGGUGUUUUUAGUGUGUUUAAAGGAGUUUUUUUCUGAAAUAUUUUGAUUUUUUUUUUUUUAAUUGCAUGUCAAUGAUCAGCCUGGCUGGGCUGGGGGUGGAAUGAAUCCAAAAUCCCCCUUUGGAUCCAAAAAUCCAGGAUUUGGGCAGGGAGAAGCCCCUGGAGCCACCUCAAAAUCCCAGCUGGGGGAAACCAGAGGGAAUUUUUUAAAAAUCCAAAAUGGAUUUAAAUCCAAUUUUUGGCUCCUGGGGGAUGAGGAGCCCCCCUGGAACGUUGGGGAGACGGAAAAAAUCAUGGAAAAAAAGUGAUUUUUUUUGGUCGAGGCUCCAUGGAAUUCAUGUGGUUCGUGUCACUCGUGAGGAAUAAAAACCAUUUGGACACUUUGGUUGUUAUCCCUGCGUGCUCAGAGCCCUGCCUGCUUUACAGAAUAUUUUUCAUCGCUUGGAUGCUUCAUUUUGAGGCAGUGACCCGAGCAGGAGCUGAGCUGGUCCCUUGGUGCAGCAGUUUUGGGGCUGGGGACACAGCCCAGGUGUGCAGGAGGAGCAGCUCAUACAGGAAAAUUCCCUGUGUUCUCCCCAUCCCCAGGCACCCUCUC